rnacentral:rRNA from 1 species
AUUGAACGCUGGCGGCAGGCCUAACACAUGCAAGUCGAGCGAGCGGCGGACGGGUGAGUAAUGUAUGGGGACUGCCCGAUAGAGGGGGAUAACUACUGGAAACGGUGGCUAAUACCGCAUACUAUCGGAUAACCCAUAUGGGAUUAGCUAGUAGGUGGGGUAAAGGCUCACCUAGGCGACGAUCUCUAGCUGGUCUGAGAGGAUGAUACGCACAAUGGGGACUGGACCACGGCCCAGACUCCGCCGGAGGCACAAGUGGGUAUUAUGGAACAGGGGGCGCAAGCCUGAGGCAGCCAUGCCGCGUGUAUGAAGAAGGCCUUAGGGUGGUAAAGUACUUUCAGGGGGGAGGCGUUACCCGCAGAAGAAGCACCGGCGAACUCCGUGCCAGCGGCCGCGGUAAUAC